rnacentral:rRNA from 1 species
UACGGGGGGGGGCAAGCGUUUGUUCGGAAUUACUGGGCGUAAAGGGCUCGUAGGCGGCCAACUAAGUCGGAUGUGAAAUCCCCAGGCUCAACCUGGGAACUGCAUCCGAUACUGGAUGGCUUGAAUCCGGGAGAGGGAUGCAGAAUUCCAGGUGUAGCGGUGAAAUGCGUAGAUAUCUGGAGGAAUACCGGUGGCGAAGGCGGCAUCCUGGACCGGCAUUGACGCUGAGGAGCGAAAGCCAGGGGAGCAAACGGG